AUCCCUUUGUAGCUCAUACGAUGACUGGGUGUUCACGCACAUGUGUGAGAUGUGCCUCCCUUAAACCUUGUUAAGGGUUGUUACCCGUGUGAUG
rnacentral:snoRNA from 1 species